GCAGACGGGUGAGUAAUGUAUAGGAAUCUACCUAGUAGUACGGAAUAAUUGUUGGAAACGGCAACUAAUACCGUAUACGCCCUACGGGGGAAAAAUUUAUUGCUAUUAGAUGAGCCUAUAUUAGAUUAGUUAGUUGGUGAGGUAAAGGCUUACCAAGACAAUGAUCUAUAGCUGAUCUGAGAGGAUGAUCAGCCACACUGGAACUGAGAUACGGUCCAGACUCCUACGGGAGGC
rnacentral:rRNA from 1 species